CCCUGGUGCUGGAUUUCGAUUGAUGGCAAAAUCUCAAGCACUUCAUUAUCAUGACAACUGCUUUUGAGAGGCCUUCCGAGUCUAAUUUCUUUUGCCCAACUUGCACUCUUGAACAGAUGAGGAUAACACAACACCUCUUGAGGACUUAAUGCUCAAGGCUCGGCAGAUAAUGAUAAUGAUUAGUAGUGCUUAUGUGCUUUAUUUCAAGAGAGGUCCAUAUUGACGCAUCCUUGACAGUAGAAUGAAUGCCUACUCGCUUCUGAAGACAUCCCAUUUAUGUCAUUGUUCUACUGCAACCUAAACAAAAACAUUUAACCAUUGGCAGUUUUUGCGAUUUUUAUAUUUUCCUCACAAGCAACCAUAAAGUGAGUAGAACAUUGCAAACAAACACUUAAGACAUUUAUUCCAGUCUGUAAAUGAAUAUUUCCCUUAGUUGACCUUAUUCAAAGAUGGUUUGUGCAAACUUUGUUUUCCUUUCAGCUGUAUCUGUAAGACAUUAGUGUGUGACUGUCCGUGUUUGAUGAUUCAUACAGUAAUCAGUGACAGGCCUACCAACACCUCCCAGGAAAGUGAAGCCCAUCUUUCAAAACCUCAGUUUAAACAUUUGUUGCCUUUGAUAAAAACAUCAUUUAUUUUCCUCUAGGGUUCAACUACACAGAGAUAAAUAUUUUGAAGCUCUAUAGGCAUAAAUAAUUGAUUUAUGAUAAACAGUGAAAGCUAUUGAGUCGGUUCACAUGGACACUAAACUUUUUGUUCUGAGACAUGGUACAAUUCAACAGUGUAUAAUAAUGUUUAUGCUGGCGGGAUUGCAAUUAACAUAGGAAACAUGCAGUAUAUUUGCAUUGGCCCUUUGCAAAGGCUGGUUCUGGUUAAUACACACUGUCUAUGCUCCAGUUGUUUACUUACAGCGAGGAAGUACUGGUAUUCAGACAGUAAAUCAAUCAGAUCAUUUCCCAUAUUGACUUGAUGUCACACAGUUGCUAUUGACUAAUAUUGGUGAAUGGAAUCUUGCUGCUAAAGAAAUAAUUUACAAAUGUCAAAAUUAGUUUAAGACUUCAUACUUCAUUGUAAUAAUGCUGAUAUUUAAACUUGAUCACUUCAUGUACUUUUACUGAUCGUAGCUGAUCUGAUUAAAGUGCCAAGUGUAACUCCAAGAUGAAUUCGCUUUGUAAUUUGUCCAGUGAUUUACUAUAUUCAUCCUUUUCAAUAUAAAAAUAAAUGGAUUCCUUCAUCUUUGAGUUAUCUUAAAGGCAUGUUUUGUUUCAGCAAGGAGGCCAGAGUUAAGUUUCAUACCCAAUAUGUAUUGGAGCAUAUCGAAAUUAACACAUAUGGGAUCGCUCCUUUUUCACACUGGCUCUAGCUUGCACCUGGCUCAAUUUUUACAUCCUCUGUCUUCCCAGCUGAAGUGGAUCGAUACUAAAGAAUGGCUGUGCCUCGAUGGCAUGUAAUCAUCUUGUUGGCUGCUUUGACACUGAUCCUCCAUUAUAAGCCAAUGAAGCAUGCUGGACAGACUUUACACUCACUAUUGUCUAAGGGCUCCAUGCUGAAAAUGCCACAGGACCAAGGAUAGAGCCUUGUGGGACACCGUCUGGACCUGUCUGAGCACUGUCACGGCUGUUUGCUAGCUCCCUGCAGGCAUGUUGGUGCUUGGAUGAAUGAGUCCUGUCACAUCUCUGGCUGAGGGUUCGCACAGAAGCACGGAAAGAGCAGCCUGAGGUGUCACCUCUAAUAAAACAUUUAUAUCCACGGGGAAAAGCAUGUCCAGUGCCGGCGACCAGAGCAAACUCAGGAUUGGCAGAGGGAGGUCCUUUUGAAGUAAGUGUUUUGAAGGCGGGAAGCAAUGGUGUUCAUUGUCUGGGAACAUCUCCCCCCACCUCCCACCUCCCAUCCCACCGCAUGGGGGUAAGCGUUAAAGUCUCACAGUGGUAGCAGUAACUUCAAAAGCCGUCCCAUGAAUGGGGCUAUGUGACCCCUGCCCACUACCAGCAGCUAAAUUGGUAGAUAAAGAAUCAGGGUAAUUUGUAUCGACUCAAUAAGUUACUAUGUGGCCAAACAGGAAGGUCAUGACUUCAUGCCGCAACCGUGGCCCCAUGGCAACCGGACAUCAAUGUAACAUCAGUUCUCAAAACACUCCCGUUUCAGUCUCGAUACACUGUCAACAAGGAACGAUUGUGCAAAUAAUAUCAGGCCCGAUAGCGGUAUAGCAAGAGGGCAAUGGGCAAAAGGAGGAAGUGGCGCUAUUUUCUGGGCAUUUGCAUUUGUUUGUUUGAGAGAACAGCUUUCAGCAUGAGAUCAUAGCCGGAUGGACAGAGAAGGGGUGCGUGGGUGCGGCAGAGACAGAUAUGACCCUCUUCGCCCCUCAUGGGAAUGACGGGGAGCGGUAUUCCCCCUCGGUCCCGCUCAGUUUGCUCAGCUCAACCAAAAUUCUCUGAGCAUUAAAAUCAAUGUUGCCAUUGUUAGGCCAAACAGUGCAUUCUGACCAUGGCCAAUGCAAAGAAUUCCCGAUGGUCCACUGGGACUUGCAGAUUCGAUUAUGAGAAUGGCCAAGGUUGUCUUUCACCCCCUCUGAAGAAUGGGCUUCCUUGUUCCUGGCUGGGACAAUGGUGUUUCUAAGUGCCAUGUGAAACUUGCUGAACUUUGUGCAAUAAUUCAAGCCUUUGAUUCAACAAAUGUUUUUGCGCCGUCCUCCACAUCUGCAAAUACCUCCGCAUUUUGUGUCUGCUAAUGCUGAGAAUAAUGUGGCUCUGAGAUUUUCUCACCCAGAUAAGAAAAAGCAUUUGAGAAAUCGGUCUGGGGGAAGAUGAGAAAAGGCGCGGAAGAAAAAGUUAGGCACGUACAUAAGUUUUGCUAUUUGGCUUUUGUUGUUUGAAUUAAAAUAAAGGUUUCCUUCUUGGCUGUCACAAUCUAUUAGAGCCAGCAGAGAGCUGCUAUCACUGUGCAGGCUGGCUCGUCCAGAACUGGGAGUGAAGCUGACGGUGUGUGGAAACUAACACGGGCACUGCGCUGUGACCGUGUCACCUGCAAUCAGCGCCAGCACCCGGCCAGAUUAAUCAUGACAGUAGGCAAUAUUUCCAACAUUAUUAGAAGAGAAACCUAAUAUUUUGGGACAUCAGGGAUCCGGGUUCUGGUGUCCAUCAAAGUGAGAGCCUUCAUUUUAUGCUCCGUGGAUGGGUAACCUCGGCACUUAACCCCUUUUAGAUAUUCCAUCUCUCUCCUCUCCUGUCUCUCAAAGCCGAGCUCAGCCCACCUUGGAGAAUAAGAGAUGUCUGGCUACAGUUAUGCAUUCAACCAACCCGUAGUAUCCACACCUAUUAUGCCACAUUUUCCGACAGCAAAAUAAGUGAUUGUAAAGUGAUCUGAAAAUAAUGUCCCCCCAUGUCGAACACCUUGAAGGCGCUGGGCGACAGACCAAAGGGCUGCAGGAAGUGAAAUUGUAUUGUAUUAUAUCUAAAUGAAUUUAGGAGGAAGCUGUCUAUGUACAAACACCUUAAACAUGAAAUGACAUUCAUCUGUGUCUUUGCAUUUGCAACGGUUUACAAUAGCAGUUCAGUUCUUGUUAACAUUAUUUAACGCAUUACGUAUCAUGAACUAACAACUGACAGUACUUUUUAUUAAUCUAGGUUAUUGUUAAUUUCUUUAUAUACUAACACUUUGAUUAAUCUUAAUGUAUUAUGAGCAAACAUUAUAGGGUUAGUUCACCCUGAAAUUAAAAUUCUGUCAUUUAUUACU